GCUGUAUCGAUUGUUGAGAUCUGGCGACUUGUUUAAAUUUCAUCAGCCUCACUUCUAUGAACUCUCAGGCCUCACGUGUACCAGCUCUCUGCUCUCCUUUGCCUUGGGACGUUCCAUCCCUGGAAGUUUCCCUGCCCACAUCUUUGUAGAGAGUCCAUUCUCCAAGCUUCAGUGUGUCAUCUGUGAGGACCGUGACCCACCUGGUACAUCGCCUCAGGGCAUUCAUUUCAGGCUCCUUCUAAAUGGCCAAGUCUUCUGCCAGCCUAACAAGCAUAGCAAGAAGAUAUAGCCCCACAACCACUUUAUGCACAAAGUUAGAAGCAUAAAAUCUCAUGGAAGGAGACCGAUUAUCUACAGAAGAGGUUGUCUUGCCAUUUCUCUCAUGUUAGAGGUAAACCUCAGGUUCUCCUCCUGCCUUUUGCUAAGUAUAUGUCUUGAUGACAAGCCUUCUGCUGAUGAGCUGUGUUUCUGGACCGAUCAUGGUAGAAGUCAAUUAACGUGUCCCUCACUUGGGGUUUCUCAAGGUCAUCUAUGAACUGACUCUGUCUCAAAAAAAAAAAGAAAAAAAAGAAAAGAAAGAAUGAAAAAAAAAACUAGGACAUGGCUAACAGGAAUGGGGACAAAGAAUCUGCACUGAUGAGGAAACUGAAACAGAAAAUCCAGAGUAAAUUCCACCAGGCCACACAGCAAGGUCUGAUAGAGCCAGGAGAGACUUUAUGAAAUCCAGACUCUCACACUAAUGCUCUAUCAGCUAGACCUCCAUGUGAGUCUCCCCAAUGUAGGUAGGAAGUGCUUUCCC
rnacentral:lncRNA from 1 species